GGGGAAUAUUGGACAAUGGGCGAAAGCCUGAUCCAGCAAUGCCGCGUGAGUGAUGAAGGCCUUAGGGUUGUAAAGCUCUUUUACCCGGGAUGAUAAUGACAGUACCGGGAGAAUAAGCCCCGGCUAACUCCGUGCCAGCAGCCGCGGUAAUACGAAGGGGGCUAGCGUUGCUCGGAAUCACUGGGCGUAAAGGGUGCGUAGGCGGCCCGCUAAGUCGAACGUGAAAUCCCCGAGCUCAACUCGGGAACUGCGUCCGAUACUGGCGGGCUUGAAUCCGGGAGAGGGAUGCGGAAUUCCAGGUGUAGCGGUGAAAUGCGUAGAUAUCUGGAGGAACACCGGUGGCAAAGGCGGCAUCCUGGACCGGCAUUGACGCUGAGGCGCGAAAGCUAGGGGAGCAAAC
rnacentral:rRNA from 1 species